GAGUUUGAUCUUGGCUCAGAAUGAACGUUGGCGGCGUGGAUUAGGCAUGCAAGUCGAGCGAGAACCCGCAAGGGGGACAGCGGCAAACGGGGUAGUAACGGGUAGGCAACGUACCCUCGGGUCGGGGAUAGCCACGGGAAACUGUGGGUAAUACCCGAUAAUCUCUGCGGUGGUAAGUACUGCAGAGCAGAGGUGUGAUUCCACCGGAGGAGCGGCCUGCUUCGUAUUAGCUUGUUGGUGAGGUAACGGCUCACCAAGGCGACGAUGCGUAGGGGGUGUGAGAGCAUGACCCCCACCACUGGGACUGAGAUACUGCCCAGACACCUACGGGUGGCUGCAGUCGAGAAUCUUCGGCAAUGGGCGCAAGCCUGACCGAGCGACGCCGCGUGUGGGAUGAAGGCCCUUGGGUUGUAAACCACUGUCAGAGGGGAUGAAAUGCGGGAGAGCUAUCUCUUCCGUUUGACAUAGCCUCAGAGGAAGCACGGGCUAAGUUCGUGCCAGCAGCCGCAGUAAC
rnacentral:rRNA from 1 species